GCAGCUUCGUUAAACGAUCGAUCAGCCGUUCGUCCUGAUCAAUAACUUUUCCGUUCCUGCGGGAAUUGUUUGAACGAAAAUCAAAAAGGGGUUGUUUCUUCGAACCCCGAGGAUUGCGGAAAAGUUACAUGAUCAAGCAAAAAGUAAGAAGGCUGAACGGAUUCAAUGGCCGAGCAAAAGGAUACGUAUUUUUGAUAUUUUUUCAAUGAAUAGUGUACGCUUCAUUGGAUGGAAAUAAAUACAGCGAAACGUAAAGUUUCGAAGGAAG
rnacentral:misc_RNA from 1 species